GAUGAACGCUAGCUACAGGCUUAACACAUGCAAGUCGAGGGGAAACGACAUUGGAAGCUUGCUUCCUUUGGGCGUCGACCGGCGCACGGGUGAGUAACGCGUAUCCAACCUUCCCGCAAGUAAGGGAUAACCCGUAGAAAUGCGGCCUAAUACCUUAUGUUUUCCUUAGAGGGCAUCUGAUGAGGAACAAAGAUCCGUCGCUUGCGGAUGGGGAUGCGUCUGAUUAGUUAGUCGGCGGGGUAACGGCCCACCGAGACGACGAUCAGUAGGGGUUCUGAGAGGAAAGUCCCCCACAUUGGAACUGAGACACGGUCCAAACUCCUACGGGAGGCAGCAGUGAGGAAUAUUGGUCAAUGGGCGAGAGCCUGAACCAGCCAAGUAGCGUGCAGGAUGACGGCCCUAUGGGUUGUAAACUGCUUUUAUACGGGGAUAAAGUGAGCCACGUGUGGCUUAUUGCAGGUACCGUAUGAAUAAGGACCGGCUAAUUCCGUG
rnacentral:rRNA from 1 species